UCUGCCUUGGAGUGGGGAAUAACGGUUGGAAACAGCCGCUAAUACCGCAUGAUGCGUCUGGGAGGCAUCUCUCUGGACGCCAAAGAUUUAUCGCUCUGAGAUGAGCUCGCGUCUGAUUAGCUAGUUGGCGGGGCAACGGCCCACCAAGGCGACGAUCAGUAGCCGGACUGAGAGGUUGGCCGGCCACAUUGGGACUGAGACACGGCCCAGACUCCUACGGGAGGCAGCAG
rnacentral:rRNA from 1 species